GAAAUGCGAUAAGUAAUGUGAAUUGCAGAAUUCAGUGAAUCAUCGAAUCUUUGAACGCACAUUGCGCCCUUUGGUAUUCCGAAGGGCAUGCCUGUUCGAGCGUCAUUUCAAACCUCAAGCUUCUGCUUGGUAUUGGGCCUCGUCCGCCUAGGACGUGCCCGAAACUCGUAGGCAGUGGUGUCCAUCUCCCAGCGUAGUCAAAUUCUAUCCGCUUCGGAGCUUUAGGCACUGCCCGCCGAACAACCCACUAUUUUUCUAUGGUUUGACCUCGGAUCAGGUAGGGAUACCCGCUGAACUUAA
rnacentral:misc_RNA from 1 species